CAAGACCCCCGAGGGACGUUUGCCGGGACUCGAAUCCCAGAAUAAGCAGGAGAGACAAGGAGAGAAGCGAGAGAGAUGGAAGACGCCAAACGCGAUCUCAUCAAGCAGGUGAGAAACCAUGAGAUCGCCAUCGCUGAGCUCGACAGUCUUCGGCCUUCUCGGUCUGUUUAUCAGAAAGAUGGGAACAUAUACUUUAGAACGACAAUCCAGAAGGCGAAAGCAUCUGAGCAAAAACAAGUCGGUUCGGCCAAAGCAAAGCUGGAGAGGCUGAAUGUAACAUGAAGUCGGCACAAAAUGGCAGAUAGCUGGCUAUGCUUCUUCUGCUCUUCAAUCUUCAGCUACAAGGUA